rnacentral:sRNA from 1 species
AUGUUGUUGUGCGCGUUAGCGAUUGAAACGGCAUCCUUUUUUUGAGGCACGAAAAAAAAGAUAUAGUGGAAAGCGCGACUUGGU